rnacentral:rRNA from 1 species
UACGUAGGGUGCAAGCGUUAAUCGGAAUUACUGGGCGUAAAGCGUGCGCAGGCGGUUCGCUAAGACAGAUGUGAAAUCCCCGGGCUUAACCUGGGAACUGCAUUUGUGACUGGCGGGCUAGAGUAUGGCAGAGGGGGGUAGAAUUCCACGUGUAGCAGUGAAAUGCGUAGAGAUGUGGAGGAAUACCGAUGGCGAAGGCAGCCUCCUGGGCCAACACUGACGCUCAUGCACGAAAGCGUGGGGAGCAAACAGG